rnacentral:lncRNA from 1 species
UGAGAUCAAGAUAUGCAAAAUACACACGGAUCUGAACAUUUCUGAUCCGUUGACAAAAUCACUCCCGCAGGCUAAGCAUGAUGCGCAUGUAAGAGCUAUGGGUAUUAGGUACCUUCUAGAUUUACUCUAGUGCAAGUAGGAGACUGUUGGAGGUAUGCCCUAGAGGCAAUCAUAGAGAUGAUGAUAUUCCAUUUGUAUCCAUGAUUUGUAUGUUGUGUUCAUUGAAUAUCCAUUGAAGGCUACUUGAAUUGAUUUGCAAUUAUGUGAAUUGUAUGUGAAACUCUUUACUUGUAUGGUUAUUCUAAAGAUUGUCCCUAGUCGGAGUUCAUGUGAGGACACACAUGAAUAUUAGACUAGCACAUGUAUUAGUUG